rnacentral:rRNA from 1 species
UACGAAGGGGGCUAGCGUUGUUCGGAAUUACUGGGCGUAAAGCGCACGUAGGCGGACAUUUAAGUCAGGGGUGAAAUCCCAGAGCUCAACUCUGGAACUGCCUUUGAUACUGGGUGUCUUGAGUAUGGAAGAGGUGAGUGGAAUUCCGAGUGUAGAGGUGAAAUUCGUAGAUAUUCGGAGGAACACCAGUGGCGAAAGCGACUUCCUGGACCAGUACCGACGUUCAGGCACGAAAGCGUGGGGAGCAAACAGG